CUAGCGAGACUGCCGGUAAUAAACCGGAGGAAGUGGGGAUGACGUCAAAUCAUCAUGCCCCUUAUGACCUGGGCUACACACGUGCUACAAUGGUUGGUACAACGAGUUGCGAGUCGGUGACGGCGAGCUAAUCUCUUAAAGCCAAUCUCAGUUCGGAUUGUAGGCUGCAACUCGCCUACAUGAAGUCGGAAUCGCUAGUAAUCGCGGAUCAGCACGCCGCGGUCGAAUACGUUCCCGGGCCUU
rnacentral:rRNA from 1 species